CAAAGGAAGUUGACGGGGGCCCGCACAAGCGGUGGAGUAUGUGGUUAAUUCGAUGCAACGCGAAGAACCUUACCUGGUCUUGACAUCCCGGAGACCCUUAGGAAACUAGGGGGUGCUUCCAUCUGGAAGAAUCUGGAGACAGGUGCUGCAUGGCUGUCGUCAGCUCGUGUCGUGAGAUGUUGGGUUAAGUCCCGCAACGAGCGCAACCCUUGCCUUUAGUUGCCAGCAGUUCGGCUGGGCACUCUAAAGGGACUGCCGGUGUUAAACCGGAGGAAGGUGGGGAUGACGUCAAGUCCUCAUGGCCUUUAUGACCAGGGCUACACACGUACUACAAUGGCCGAUACAAAGGGCAGCGACACUGCGAGGUGAAGCCAAUCCCGUAAAAUCGGUCUCAGUCCGGAUUGGAGUCUGCAACUCGACUCCAUGAAGUUGGAAUCGCUAGUAAUCGUGGAUCAGCAUGCCACGGUGAAUACGUUCCCGGGCCUU
rnacentral:rRNA from 1 species